UGGGGAAUAUUGCACAAUGGGCGAAAGCCUGAUGCAGCAACGCCGCGUGAGUGAUGAAGGUCUUCGGAUUGUAAAGCUCUGUCUUUUGGGACGAUAAUGACGGUACCAAAGGAGGAAGCCACGGCUAACUACGUGCCAGCAGCCGCGGUAAUACGUAGGUGGCGAGCGUUGUCCGGAUUUACUGGGCGUAAAGGGUGCGUAGGCGGAUGUUUAAGUGAGAUGUGAAAUACCCGGGCUUAACUUGG
rnacentral:rRNA from 1 species